rnacentral:rRNA from 1 species
AUUGAACGCUGGCGACAUGCCUUACACAUGCAAGUCGAACGGCAGCACGGGUGCUUGCACCUGGUGGCGAGUGGCGAACGGGUGAGUAAUACAUCGGAACAUGUCCUGUAGUGGGGGAUAGCCCGGCGAAAGCCGGAUUAAUACCGCAUACGAUCUACGGAUGAAAGCGGGGGACCUUCGGGCCUCGCGCUAUAGGGUUGGCCGAUGGCUGAUUAGCGAGUUGGUGGGGGAAAGGCCUACCAAGGCGACGAUCAGUAGCUGGUCUGAGAGGACGACCAGCCACACUGGGACUGAGACACGGCCCAGACUCCUACGGGAGGCAGCAGUGGGGAAUUUUGGACAAUGGGCGAAAGCCUGAUCCAGCAAUGCCGCGUGUGUGAAGAAGGCCUUCGGGUUGUAAAGCACUUUUGUCCGGAAAGAAAUCCUUGGCCCUAAUACGGUCGGGGGAUGACGGUACCGGAAGAAUAAGCACCGGCUAACUACGUG